AUGGACAAUCAGUUGGAGAUGGAAGAGCAAAUGGGUUAGUUUGAGCCUCUACUCAAUGGAGUUUAGAAGAAUCAGGCCACCUUGUUGAAACACGUAUAAGAAUCUUGGGGAAUUUGACUGGGGAAAAGUUUUUAGAACCAGAGGCAAUAAUCAGGGCAUUAGGCAUUCAACAAGAAUGAAAUGUUCUGUUACAAGAAGUGGAAUAUCUCUGUCCAAGCUUCCUCCAGUUCAAUUUGUGAAACCACGUUAAUCUUCUGUUUGUUUGAUUUCUGCAUAUUUGUGUCUAUGUGUUUGCGUGUAGAAACUGUCCCGGCCCCUCG